rnacentral:rRNA from 1 species
UACAGAGGCCCCAAGCGUUACUGAGAAUCACUGGGUUUAAAGGGUGCGUAGGUGGCGCGUUAAGUCCGUUGUGAAAUCCCUGGGCUCAACCCAGGAAUUGCUUCGGAUACUGGCGUGCUUGAGGCUAGUAGGGGUCACUGGAACUGACGGUGGAGCGGUGAAAAUGCGUAGAUAUCAGGAGGAACACCUGCGGUGUAGACGGCUUUCUGGACCAUAACUGACGCUGAGAUACGAAAGCGUGGGUAGCAAACAGG